GAUCCUUCAUAGAUAGCCGGGACGGCCAUUGUAAUCAUAUUGUCAGGACAGCUCAGAGAAUGGGUCUGCAGCCGGAUUACACGGCUCAGAACCUCGGCUUCCGAUGUGUCCGCAGUGCCAAAGCCUACUGGGAUCUCCAUGGUCACAAGAACUUACGGAGACCAUACAUUGGGGACAACAAACCAGACCCCAGGAGGAGGCGCCCACCCAGGCACCACCGGAAAGAUGAACUGUAAGGCCUGCCACAUGGGGGAAUGUUAACUAUAGAGAGGGCUCUUCAAGACCUACUGUGAAAGACUCUAGUCACAAAAUAGUGGACAGUCACGUCACAAGAAAUACAAACUGAUCACAGGAACAGCUGGACGAAAAGUAAAGAAAUCUUCAUCAAAUUUUAGCUCAAUUUUUAAAGAAGUCUUUAUAAUAAAACAUUUACAAUG